UCCUCCUCUCUCCUCUCUGGUGACUAAGACUCUGAUUCGCCAGCGUCCUGAAACAGUGUGCAGGUGGAACACAAUGUGAUAUCAGGACUGUGUAAAAGUAUUUGCACAUGCCAAAGGCUUUGACAAUUCCCCACGUGACUCCUGUGGACACUGCAUUACAUUUAUGGCUUCUUGACCAUUGUACCAGCCAUAUGAAACAUCUGAAGUAAAAAAAAAUGUUGGGUUUUAGACAUCUUGGAGCCUCUGUGCUGCAGGACCACAGCUUACACAUCAGCGAUGCUCUUCUGGCACCUCCAUUUUCUGGGAGUGUGUGCACCCAUGGCUGGCAGAAAGAAGGGCCAGGGAUUUUUUCCCAAUGACUCGAGGAACGUAUGCCCUGAAAUAAAUGACUCACUUUAUUCUUAACAACAAGCCCACUUCUGUCCUAGCACACUUGGCUGUGUUGACUUGGUCGUUUUUGUUCAGCAGCAACGACUAUAUGUUGACACAUUAAAGAGUCAGUGAGAACACCAAAUGCUGACUUCUCGUCUUGUCUGAUUCUUCUUAGAACUCAAAGUUAUAUGGAUCAAGCACAUGUUUCCAUUGAUGCACUGGCCUCGUUGGCUGGAAUUUGAGUUUACAUUUAGGUUUAAGUUUCUGAUUUGAAAGGUGGACUUUGAUACCAUUGGACCGAGUCAGGCUAGCUGUUAAUGUACUUACUAAAAAUAUGUAAUUAUUCCUAAUAGAA